CUAUGGUGUAAAUGCCUAACAGCACAAGUAGAUAGUCCCUGGUGAUUCUUCAUGCAAAACUGGGAGAAUGUGCUCCAUGUUUCUCGGAUACUGCACUAGAGAUCUUGGCGCAGAAAGUGAAAAGGAUGAAAGAUGGUCUCUGUUCAGAAGAUACACAAGGCAGACAAUGUGAAAGAAGUGGAACCAGAUAGCUUUGUAGUCAAUGUCUACAGUCUAUCCCCUAGAUGCAUUUAAUUCAUAUAUUAAAGCUCUGCAAUCUGGACAGGCAGUGGUGGACAAGAUAGAGAUGGAAGAGUAAGAAAAUACUGAUGAAGAAGGAACAACCUCAC